AUUCCCUCUGCUCAAGUCCAGCCGUCUGCCACAGCAGUGCGACCCAUGGCAGACCGUCCAGGAGGCGGUGGUGGCAGCAGCGGCGUCCUUUCUUGCCUGCAUUUAUCUUCGCUGUUUGAAGCCUUGUGACCCGUCAGGACCCAACGGCUGUCUGAUCACAUUACUGGGCUGCCUGCUGUCUUCGGGUUGGGAGAUCCUGGUUGGCCUGGAGGAAAAGAAAAGGCAGGUCUUGAGGAUAGAAAAGAUGUCCAGAUUUUUUAGUGUGGAGCACGCGGGCGGAGGUGCAUGUGUGGCCAGAGACCGUCAGAGUAGGGAAGGGCAUGCACUUUCCACAUUGGCAGCUCCCCGUGGGAAGGAAGACAUGGUCCAUGGUCCACCUUGUAGCAAUUACAACAUCCCCCCUUGUCAUGUGCCAUUGCUUCUCUGUAAGCAGAGGGGAUGCACACAGCCCAUCCUGUGGGGGGAGGAGCGCCAUGAGCAAGGCGUCGUCCACAGAACCGACUCAGACUGUUCCAGGGUCGGGCCCCUAGCCACGAGCUCACGAGUGAGCUGCACCCACCUGGCUGACUCCUGUUUCCCUCCAAACCACGAGGCUAGCUGCUGACUCCUAGUACUAGAGAAGACAGAAGGAAAUGGACUUUUCCCACUCCAGACAGGUGCAGACUAAGAGGAGAGAACAGAACGGAUGUUCCUUCAAAACAACGAUGGCACUAGACGGUGGCACAUGCCUGUAACUGUUAGGGAGGCAGGAGGGUCCCAGUGCAAGGCUGCCUGGGCUACACAGUAAAUUACGCCAGCAUGUGUGAGAACUUGGGUUUCAAAAAGCAAACGUGGCAUGGUGGUACACGCCUUUAAUCCCAGCACCUGGGAGGCAGAGGCAGGAGAGUUCAAAGCCAGCCUGAUCUACAGAACAGGUUCCAGGCCAGCCAGGACUACACAGAGAGACCCUGUAUUGGGGAAAGAACAGCCUGAGAAAGUCCUCCAAACUCGAGGGCUGUGAUAUGCUCAGAGGCUGGCUGACUGCCUAACAGGCUUGCACCUAAGUGUGCAGUCCCCAAUAUUGGGGAGAAAAGAAAGAAGAGUCUAUUGCAGUGUGACUGUAACCCUACCACCAGAGAAGCUGAGGCAGGACUGCCAGGCCAGCCUAGGCUACAGGGUGAAAGUGUCUCAAAUCACCAAGAUUAUGGCUGGGCAUGUGCCUGAGCGCAGAGCUGCCGGCACACAGGAAGCUCAGGUUUGGUCGCAGUUCUGUGUCAGCAGACAGGAGAUGGAGACAGAGGGAUCCCCAUUCAACGUGGUUAUUUCUACAACAGUGAGUCUGUGGCUAGCCUAAGCUAAGUGAGACCCUGUGACAAAAACAAAGAACAGGCUUGUGUGUGCCAGCACCUGCCUCUUCCUCCAUCUUCAACCACAUGAUCCUUGUUUAUCGUGUGUGCAGUGUGCUGUCUGCAUGGAUGCCUGUCCAUGCACACAUGAGGCCAGAAGGUGGCAUCGGAACCCACUACAGAUGGUUGUAAGUCGCCAUGCAGUUGCUGGGAAUUGAACUCAGGACCUCUGGAAGAGCAGUCAGUGCUCUUAACCACUGAGCCAUCUCUCCAGUCCAUGCAUUUAUUUAAAAAAUCUUUUAAAACUUAUUGUAUGUAACGUGUACCCCAAAGUACAGUACAGAGGUCAGAGGACAACUUGAGGGGCUGAUUCUCUCUCCACUGUCAUGGUGAGGGUUCCAAGACUGAACUUGGGUCGUCAGGGGUGGCAGUGAGUGCCCUUUGCAGCUGCUGGGAUUGUCUAGCAAGCACCCACUGACUGAGCCCCAUCUCCAGCCCCCAAAGGCAGGGCUUGAGUUUGAUGGGUUUUGGUUCUGAGACAGGGGCUCUCUGUGGCCCUGGCUGUUCUGGACAGCUCACUAUAGACCAGGCUGGCCUGAAACUCACAGAGAUCCAGCCACCACUGCCUCUUAAGUGCUGGGAUUAAAGGUGUAUGUCACCACUGCCCAGCUCCAAAUGUCAUCAGAAAGUAACACAAUACAAAUCUAAAAAUC
ensembl:antisense